rnacentral:rRNA from 1 species
AUUGAACGCUGGCGGCAUGCCUUACACAUGCAAGUCGAACGGCAGCACGGGAGCAAUCCUGGUGGCGAGUGGCGAACGGGUGAGUAAUAUAUCGGAACGUGCCCAGUCGUGGGGGAUAACGUAGCGAAAGCUACGCUAAUACCGCAUACGAUCCAUGGAUGAAAGCGGGGGAUCGCAAGACCUCGCGCGAUUGGAGCGGCCGAUAUCAGAUUAGGUUGUUGGUGGGGUAAAAGCUUACCAAGCCUGCGAUCUGUAGCUGGUCUGAGAGGACGACCAGCCACACUGGAACUGAGACACGGUCCAGACUCCUACGGGAGGCAGCAGUGGGGAAUUUUGGACAAUGGGCGCAAGCCUGAUCCAGCAAUGCCGCGUGCAGGAUGAAGGCCUUCGGGUUGUAAACUGCUUUUGUACGGAACGAAACGGCUCUCUCUAAUACAGGGGGCUAAUGACGGUACCGUAAGAAUAAGCACCGGCUAACUACGUGCCAGCAGCCGCGGUAAUACGUAGGGUGCGAGCGUUAAUCGGAAUUACUGGGCGUAAAGCGUGCGCAGGCGGUUUUGUAAGACAGAUGUGAAAUCCCCGGGCUUAACCUGGGACCUGCAUUUGUGACUGCAAGGCUGGAGUGCGGCAGAGGGGGAUGGAAUUCCGCGUGUAGCAGUGAAAUGCGUAGAUAUGCGGAGGAACACCGAUGGCGAAGGCAAUCCCCUGGGCCUGCACUGACGCUCAUGCACGAAAGCGUGGGGAGCAAACAGGAUUAGAUACCCUGGUAGUCCACGCCCUAAACGAUGUCAACUGGUUGUUGGGUCUUCACUGACUCAGUAACGAAGCUAAC